rnacentral:rRNA from 1 species
GACGAGGGACCCUAGCGUUGUUCGGAAUCAUUGGGCGUAAAGCGGGUGCAGGUGGCUUUGUAAGUCAGGUGUGAAAGCCCAGGGCUCAACCCUGGAAGUGCAUUUGAUACUGCGAAGCUUGAGUGCUGGAGAGGUUAGUGGAAUUCCCGGUGUAGUGGUGAAAUGCGUAGAUAUCGGGAGGAACACCAGUGGCGCAAGCGGCUAACUGGCCGAGACCUGACGCUGAGACGCGACGGCGUGGGGAGCAAACCGG